CCAGGCUCCUCUGUCCAUGGGAUUUCCCAGGCAAAAAUACUGGAGUGGGUUGCCAUUUCCUUCUCCAGGGGAUCUUUUCAACCCAGGGAUCAAACCAACGUCUCCUGCAUUGCAGGUGGAUUCAUUACCACUGUGCCCCCUGGAAGCCCACCUGCAUUAAUAUAGGAGAUUUGUUUUUCUCCUUCUGACUUACUCUACUCUGUAUGACAGACUCUAGUCCAUCCACCUCUCUACAAGUGACCCAGUUUUGUUCAUUUUUAUGGCUAAUACGGAAUGCCCUCCUUUAAAUACAGCCCCAUCUUGCCUACCAGGUCCAGCUGUCUGCACUUCCAGCUGCUGUCUGCAGGCCCUGAGAUCUGCCCUGGCCUCCGCUGCCCUUUCGUUUCAACACUGUCCCCAAACCAGAGCGAGUCAACCCUCCUCUGCGGGCGGAGAAGCCCCAGGCUCCCUGUGUCAAGGAUGUGCUUGCCCUCUGGAAGGAGAGGUUUUAACAAGCUAGAAGAAAGUAGAACAGCACUUUUUUCCCCAUCCAUGUAAAAGAAAUUCUGACUAAAGAAAUGGAAACAUCUCAUUGGAUACAAGAUGGAGGGGUUUGAUUAUGUUAAAAAAAAUUAACUUCUUUCAUAAUCAUAUGCAUGAUAAAAUUUUAAAAGAGCAAUGCUAUGCUAUGCUAAGUCACUUCAGUCGUGUCCGACUCUGUUCGACCCCAUAGACGGCAGCCCACCAGGCUCCCCCAUCCCUGGGACUCUCCAGGCAAGAACACUGGAGUGGGUUGCCAUUUCCUUCUCCAAUGCAUGAAAGUGAAAAGUGAAGUCGCUGAGUCGUGUCCGACUCUUCGAAACCCCAUGGACUGCAGCCCACCAGGCU
rnacentral:lncRNA from 1 species